GUGAAUCAGGUCGGUGCAGUUUAGUGACAGGCAGCGCUUGAGGUCUGCGGACCAAUAUAGCAGUCAUCAGAUUGGGUACAGUUUUGGUUUGGUUACCUUGAGGCAUACUUGGCUUUGCAUUCCUUACAGUAGCAGUAUUGUUUAUUACUUCUUCUUUAUCUGUUAUAGCUACUGUAGUUUCUUUAUAUCAGCAUCAGUAUUUGUUUACCAUAUUGUUAUAUAUCUCUUCCUGAUCCGGUGAGUACUCCUCGCCUUCAUCGGCUUGCGGUACCUACUGGGAGGGGAGACAUGUUUACAUGUUCUCACCUCCCCCACUAUUUUUCAGGUAUCGCCGGCGGUGAGAGUUGAGACGAGACGUGAGACACGUUCGUAGUGGUCGCUAGAGCUUCCGACCCAGGUUAUUCGGUUUAGUUUCUACCCUUACUGUCCUAUUGAUAUAGCUUAGAUAGUUUAUGUGGUUCAGUUAGCUGAUCUUUAUGAUUGUUUGAAUGUUGGUGAUCUGGUUUUGGUAGAUCUGUGAAUGCUUUCAUUAUUUAUGCAUGUGAACUGAGGUUUGUGGAUUUGAAUGUUGAUUCUAUGGAUAUCGGAUUUUCUUGUAUUUACAUAUCGUGGUUUUCUACCCCUCGAGGUAGUUGAUUUUCAAAAUAGAGUUUCCGUGUGGGAAAUAGUUUUAAAAAGGUUUUCAAAUGGUUUUUCAUGAUGAAUGAAUUAGAGUUCAAAAAUAAAAGCUUCUGUGUGGGGAGCACUUUUAAAUAGGAUGUUUGUUGUAUUGUGCAUUGCAUCAUCCAGCGCCUAAGGAGUGCUUAGAGGCAUGCAUCAUUCUAAGGAUCGUUAGCUGUAUGGGAAUGCAUAUCAUGAUUUGAUUGCUGAUUGGUAAAUGUAGGUUGUGGUUGAGAUCCUAUUGUAUAGCUGGUACGCCGUGCAAUACAAAGGAAACUCUGACCGAGUGGACAGAGGAACUUUGUAUUUGUGGCGGGUCUGUACGUCACGUGGGCCAGGUUGAAAAAAAAAA
rnacentral:lncRNA from 1 species